rnacentral:rRNA from 1 species
AUGGCGACCGGCGCACGGGUGAGUAACACGUAUCCAACCUGCCGAUGACUCGGGUAUAGCCUUUCGAAAGAAAGAUUAAUACCCGAUGGCAUAGUUCUUCCGCAUGGUGGAACUAUUAAAGAAUUUCGGUCAUCGAUGGGGAUGCGUUCCAUUAGGUUGUUGGCGGGGUAACGGCCCACCAAGCCUUCGAUGGAUAGGGGUUCUGAGAGGAAGGUCCCCCACAUUGGAACUGAGACACGGUCCAAACUCCUACGGGAGGCAGCAUG